rnacentral:ncRNA from 1 species
AUGAAUAAGGCCCAUUUGGGUCAGGGCUGACUGCUGCCUGAAAAAGGGUAA